ensembl:lncRNA
AAAAUAUUUUAUUAAUUAUAAUUCUAUGUGUUCACAUCUGUGCAUUUAUCUUAACUUUGUAGCUCAUCUAAUCAAAUUUUAGAAUCAGAACAUGAUUUAUUUAGUGAUGUGGAGAUUAAUUUCCAUACAUAAAUAAUAGAAAAUACUUUGCAGGAAUUCCUGCUUAAUUAUUAUGAGUUUGAAAAGAUGUGAGUGCUUGUGUGUGUGCAUCAGAUGGCAGCGGGAUGUCUUCCACGGUGACUUAGCAGAGCAUGAUUGUGGGAUUGUAAAGGUCUAAUCUGCCCCUUUCUAAUCCUUCGAAAACACACACACACACACAUACACACUAAUCUGCCCCUCUUUUUAAUUCUCACUGCAAAGCACCCAGAUAAUGAAAAGCCAUCUGAAUUCCAGAGCUCGGGAGCUCAUUGUUGCUUAUGGAGGAGAUGAGUCUCCAUGCUCCACAACACACACACACACACACACACGAAAGAGUCUUAAAUGUUCACAGAAACAUUUUCUCCCACACAGCAUACUUAGGAAAACCCACACACAUUUUUCUGACCAUAUAAUCUGUGCUACACCACUCAGGCUCCUCAAAGAGUCUGAGAUAUCCAGGAAGAAGCAAGUAUACAUGCAAUAUUUGUGAUUUACCGCUGACUUGGGCAGUUCUGGUCUGAUUUUUGUCAUGCUUAAAACGCCCUGUACUUACAGACACAGAUACAGAUGUGCAGAGGAGGUGUCAGAGGAUGACAAAGGCAUCCCGAUGUACAAACAGCAAAGUGUGAGCAAUACCAAGGUCAUGGGUUCAAUUCCCAUGGGAAUUGCAAUGUAUGCAAAGCAAUGGUUAACAUGCCAAAGACCUGUGAGAGAGAAACAGAGGUCAACAACGCUCACAAAGUUCCCUGUAGAACCUCCUACCCACCGAUCUGCCUCUCCCAAAAUCAACAACUGCAAAGUUAAAACCUCCAGGACAUGUUUUGUUCCUCAUGUCAGCGUAGCCAUGAAAGCAUUGUAACUGAUGAGAAAUGAUUUGCCAUUCGUGCUGAGGGGGUGUUGUCUUCAUUGUGUUUCCAAAAAAGAGCAUCAUUUGGAUAUAACAUCAACCACAAACAGAGGAAAUCUUUACUAAGGGCAAAAUCUGCCGCCCAUUUACACAAAGAGAACACCUGCUUCCCCUUUCUUUAAAACAAAACAUGGUCUCAAGUGCAGUCCAAAAAAAAAAAAAGUUUGGUUAAUGUUGAAGUACCGGCAGGCUGUGACAUGCCAGCUGGGCUGUGUCAUAACUCUAGCGUGAAAAACACUGUCAAAACUCAGACAUCGUUUUUAAAGACAUAAUUAGUGUUUGAGACUGAGGUGACAUUAAACUGUUUAUAAGGUCGGGCACCUGAACAGUGAACAGAGUUACAGUUACCAGAAACUUAUUGGAGGAAUUAUAAGCUUAGAAGUCAGAUGUACUAUACAAGAUUGAUUAUCACAAACCAAACUACUGUGUGUAUAAAUACUUUACGCAUUAGAGUGAAAAAUAAAACAGAUUAUUGUGACAUAAAGAAUUAGUCAGAACUUUUGAAAUAUAAAGUCACAUUGUGGGAUGUCACAAUUGCAAGAAAUGAAGCCGAGAUAUUUCCACCCGUCUUUUGCAAUAUAGAUCUUUACGAUUGCCACUCGCUCAUGGUUUUGAUUUUAGAUGUCUUUGUUGAUUUAAACUGUUUGGAAAUAGUUUUAUUCCCCACGAGAACAGCGAGAGCAUUUAGUGGGCAAGAUUAGUUCACUCAAAUCCACAUGAACAACACAAAACAUGUGUUCCCCUGCAGUGGUCCAUGACUGUCCUCUUUCCUCUUACCCAGUGCAAGGACACAACUGGAGACAAUUAGGAGAAAAUUCUUUGAGCAAUAUCAAACUUACCAAAUGUUCUUUGUUUCCUGCUCUUUGUCUUUCCAUGUCGCAGGGUAUGUUCAGAAAGUUUAUUACUUACAGAAUACUGUGCAGUAAAUUUUAGUAAAAAAAAAAUAAUAAUCAAAUAGCAGUAUGCUACCACACUACUUUUGUCAUGUGAUCUCUUUGCAUAUUUAAUUCAGCAAGUAUCACUCAGUUAUUGUGAAAAAAAAAAAAACUUUCCUUUGGAUUAUAAUGUAUUUAUAGUAUAUCUUAACAUAAGGAAUAGUUCACCCAAAAAUAAAAAUGAAAUGAAAUGUACUCACACUCAGGCCAUACAAGAUAUAGAUGAGGUUGUUUCUUCAUGAGAAUAGAUUUGGAGAAAUGUAUCACUUGCUCACCAAUGGAUCCUCUGCAGUGAAUGGGUGCCGUCAGAAUGAGAGUCCAAACAGUUGAUAAAAACAUCACAAUAAUCCACAUGACUUCAAUCCAUCAUAUUUUGUCUUAUGAAGUAAAAAGCUGUGUGUUUAUAAUAAACAAAUCCAUCAUUAAAAUGUUUUUAUCUUCAAACUGUGGCUAAAAUAUGAGUCUAAAAAAGUUAUCUUGAAUGAAUCAGGAGAGAAAUAUGCAUAGAUCAAAGCAGAACCAGUCCAAAAAAAGUUCUAAAUAAAUAUGUUUGUGGAUUCUGGCCAUGAGAUGGUUUAAAUUUAAAAUGCCUUAAUGAUGGAUUUGUUUAUUAUAAGACAUUCAUUGAUGGACUGGAGUCAUGUGAAUUAUUGUGAUGUUUUUAUCAGCUAUUUGGACUCUCGUUCUGACGGCACCCAUUCACUGCAGUGGAUGCAAGUGAUGAAAUGCUCAAUUUCUCUAAAUCUUUUCCAAUAAAGAAGCAAACUCAUCUACAUCUUGGAUUGCCUGAGAGUGAGUACAUUUUCAGAAAUUAUCAUAUUUGGGUGAACAAUUAUUAUUUUUUUAUAUAUUGUACUAUAUACUGCAGCAUUAGUAAGAGCACUGUUUAUGCUAUUCAUUUUUUUUAACUCUUCCGCUAUAUCUGAUGUGCAAGUUGUUGUGAUUUGAACAAUCAGGCUAAUUUUAGG